GGGGUAGCGGCGGCUCAGGCGCAGCUACCAUGCAGUCGAGCGGUAGCACAGGAGAGCUUGCUCUCCGGGUGACGAGCGGCGGACGGGUGAGUAAUGUCUGGGAAACUGCCUGAUGGAGGGGGAUAACUACUGGAAACGGUAGCUAAUACCGCAUAACGUCUUCGGACCAAAGUGGGGGACCUUCGGGCCUCACGCCAUCAGAUGUGCCCAGAUGGGAUUAGCUAGUAGGUGGGGUAAUGGCUCACCUAGGCGACGAUCCCUAGCUGGUCUGAGAGGAUGACCAGCCACACUGGAACUGAAACACGGUCCAUACUCCUACGGGAGGCAGCAGUGGGGAAUAUUGCGCAAUGGACGCAAGCCUGAUGCCACCAUGCCUCGUGUGAGAAGAAGGCCUUUCGGUAGAAAAGCACUUUCUUCGAGGAGGAACGGUUUUGUGAUCAUACCCCUCCG
rnacentral:rRNA from 1 species